rnacentral:tRNA from 2 species
GCGGUCGUGGCGGAAUUGGUAGACGCACUAGCUUGAGGGGUUAGCGCCGCAAGGCGUGGAGGUUCGAGUCCUCUCGACCGCACCA